CUCCGUGUAGCUCAGAUGGAAUCAAGAGCGUCUGAUUACGAAUCAGAAGGGCGGGAGUUCAAGUCUCUCCACGGAGGCCA
rnacentral:tRNA from 1 species